AACAUCGCGCACCUGCGGGAACCUGCGGAGGGAUCAUUACCGAGUGAGGGCCCUCCGGGUCCAACCUCCCACCCGUGUUUAACGAACCUUGUUGCUUCGGCGGGCCCGCCUCACGGCCGCCGGGGGGCACCCCGCCCCCGGGCCCGCGCCCGCCGAAGACACCUGUGAACGCUGUCUGAAGUUGCAGUCUGAGACACUAGCUCAAUCAGUUAAAACUUUUAACAACGGAUCUCAGAUCGG
rnacentral:misc_RNA from 1 species